AGCUGAUCGACUUCUACUCGAAAAACAGUUUGUGUUCGAUAUUUGCGAACGUCGACAUCAAGCUAACACUGCCGUUUUCGUCGAAAGGUGACGCGUCCUCCUGCAUGACAAAGUAUGCCUUUAAUGGAAAUUCCUCAAAUCAGCUGUCUUUCAAGAAGGGUGAUCUAAUUAAGAUAUUGGACAGACAGGGAGAGAACCGGGGCUGGUGGAAGGGAGAGCUGCAAGGCGAGCGUUCUAAUGUGUUUGAUAUGCUGUUGGGAAACUUGAGGAGCAUCCACAGUUACGUACUGCGACACAGGCAUCCUAGGUGAUACAUGUAGGCGCGUUCAUCACAGGAGAUCUGGCAUGGUCGGAUAUUUCCCUCUUACGUACGUGACUGAGCUCGGGUGAAUGGACAAUCAACCGACGAGGAAUGGCACAGAACAGCAGCAGCAGCAGCAGCAACAUCAUCACCAGUAGAACCAGCAGCAGCAGAAGCAGCGAAUGAAUAAGA